rnacentral:rRNA from 1 species
UGAUUUGAAAAACCUUGGACGAUUUAUUUAUAGAUCUUGCAGAUUAAUGUAAAAUAAGGAAAUUAAAAAAAAGGCUGAAAAGAGAUAUGUAGUGGGCUUGUCUCAUUGCAAUAAAUAUUUUGACGUAAUUAAAGGGACUUUAUUUUUGAAUAGAAAUUACUCAGAAAUGUUGAAUUAAAAAUAAAGGUUGAUGAAAGUUAGUUAUCUUGUUAAACAAGUAAUUAAUUUUUUAAUGCUAGAGUUUAAAAGGAGUACAGAGUAAUUAAACAUUAAUUAAAUAUUUUCAUUCGGCCCGUCUUGUAACACGGACCAAGGAGUCUAACAUGUAUGCAAGUCUAAGAGAAUUUAAAACUAUAAGGCGAAAUGAAAGUGAUUAAUUUAUUAAAUUUGGGUUUAAGACUCAUUUUGAAAUAAAGACUAGUUAAAUUUAGGUUUAAUUAAGUUUAAGCAUAUAUGAUGGGACCGAAAGAUGAUGAACUAUAGCUUGAACAGAGUGAAGUCAGGGGAAACU